AAGCCAUGGUGUGGGCAAUGAGCUUUGUGCCUUUGAACCUCUCCCAUGCUUCGCUGGAAACUUUCUAAGUUCUUCUGCUGAAACCCGGAGAUCUCAUUCCUGAUCUU